rnacentral:rRNA from 1 species
AGUGAACGCUGGCGGUAGGCCUAACACAUGCAAGUCGAACGGCAGCACAGGAGAGCUUGCUCUCUGGGUGGCGAGUGGCGGACGGGUGAGGAAUACAUCGGAAUCUACUCUGUCGUGGGGGAUAACGUAGGGAAACUUACGCUAAUACCGCAUACGACCUACGGGUGAAAGCAGGGGACCUUCGGGCCUUGCGCGAUUGAAUGAGCCGAUGUCGGAUUAGCUAGUUGGCGGGGUAAAGGCCCACCAAGGCGACGAUCCGUAGCUGGUCUGAGAGGAUGAUCAGCCACACUGGAACUGAGACACGGUCCAGACUCCUCCGGGAGGCAGCAGUGGGGAAUAUUGGACAAUGGGCGCAAGCCUGAUCCAGCCAUACCGCGUGGGUGAGGAAGGCCUUCGGGUUGUAAAGCCCUUUUGUUAGGAAAGAAAUCCAGCUGGCUAAUACCCGGUUGGGAUGACGGUACCCAAAGAAUAAGCACCGGCUAACUUCGUGCCAGCAGCCGCGGUAA